CCUACGGGGGCUGCAGUGGGGGAUAUUGCACAAUGGGGGGAACCCUGAUGCAGCGACGCCGCGUGGGUGAAGAAGCGCCUCGGCGCGUAAAGCCCUGUCAGCAGGGAAGAAAAUGACGGUAUCUGAAGAAGAAGCCCCGGUUAACUACGUGCCAGCAGCCGCGGUAAUACGGAGGGGGCAAGCGUUAUCCGGAUUUACUGGGUGUAAAGGGGGCGCAGACGGCGGUGCAAGCCAGGAGUGAAAACCCGGGGGCCAACCCCGGGACUGCUCUUGGAACUGCGUGGCUGGAGUGCAGGAGGGGCAGGCGGAAUUCCUGGUGUAGCGGUGAAAUGCGUAGAUAUCAGGAGGAACACCGGUGGCGAAGGCAGCCUGCUGGACUGCAACUGACGUUGAGGCACGAAAGCGUGGGGAGCGAACAGGAUUAGAUACCCCGGUAGUC
rnacentral:rRNA from 1 species